rnacentral:rRNA from 1 species
GACGAACGCUGGCGGCGUGCUUAACACAUGCAAGUCGAGCGGAGCGGCGAACGGGUGAGUAACGCGUGAGUAACUGCCCCCCUCUCUGGGAUAACAGUUGGAAACGGCUGCUAAUACCGGAUAGUGGGGGAUGACUCGCGUCCUAUCAGCUUGUUGGUGGGGUAGUGGCCUACCAAGGCGACGACGGGUAGCCGGCCUGAGAGGGCGCCCGGCCACAUGGGGCUGAGAUAGGGCCCAAAGGCGUACGGGGGGAAGCAGGGGGGAAUAUUGCGCAAGGGGGGAAAGCGUGAUGCAGAAACGCCGCGUGCGGGAUGACGGCCUUCGGGGUGUAAACCGCGUUCAGCCAGGACGCGGUAGUGGCAGAAGAAGCACCGGCUAACUACGUGCCAGCAGCCGCGGUAAUUC